UGAAAAUAGUACCAGCUGUGCUUUUGGAUCUGUAACCAUAUUGCACGUCUGGUUGAACGCCCUUUUUCAGCGCAGCCCCCCACGCAAUCGUAGAAUAGCUUCCCACACAACACAAAAUUAUCAUGUCAGAUCAUAGGAUCCUAUAUACCUCAAGGACAUGAUUGCUGCAGCCAAAGACACGCCGGAGAUGGCAUUGAGGUUGGGGAGAUGUGAGAGGACAAAGUGGACGGAGGCGAAGAUCAUUAUAAAAUAGCUGCUGAGGCACGACGAUGUACAGCCCGAGCUUCUCUCCAAAGCAUGCUGUCCGAGCUCGUGAUAUCGGUCAAACCUCUUGCCAGGUACCAUUUCAUGCAUCUCAACCAUCUGCCACAAUGUGUAGAGGGUGAUAAUCCAAGAUAUGAUCAUCACUGCCACUCCGGGGCCCCUGAAAAUAACCCGAAAUCGUUCAAUUUCAAGUCAUAUUUUCUGCAGAAGUUUCAAAACUUACCAUCCUAGCUCAGACAUGGCAAAAGGGAGACUGAGAACUCCAGCUCCAACCAUGGCUGUGACAUUGUGAAAAGCCGAGUACCACCAUUUCGCGUUUCGUGAAGAAGUGAUUGGCAACCAAUCAUCGAUCGCCUUCUCUUCGGCAGUCCUUGUAUCUACCUGCACGUUUAUUUUUCAUUUACCUCUUCCUUUGGAGUUGCUCUUAGUCCGAUACAGAUAUACUAGAACAAAUUAAAUUGACAUGUGUUGUGGUAUAUGGGAACUUAUAUUUUUCUUGUAA